AUUGAACGCUGGCGGCAUGCUUUACACGUGCAAGUCGAACGGUAACAGGUUAAGCUGACGAGUGGCGAACGGGUGAGUAAUGCAUCGGAACGUGCCCGGUCGUGGGGGAUAACGCAGCGAAAGCUGCGCUAAUACCGCAUACGAUCUGAGGAUGAAAGCGGGGGACCGUAAGGCCUCGCGCGAUCGGAGCGGCCGAUGUCAGAUUAGGUAGUUGGUGGGGUAAAGGCUCACCAAGCCAACGAUCUGUAGCUGGUCUGAGAGGACGACCAGCCACACUGGGGCUGAGACACCGCCCAGGCGCCUACGGGAGGCAGCAGUGGGGAAUUUUGGACAAUGGGCGACAGCCUGAUCCAGCAAUGCCGCGUGCAGGAAGAAGGCCUUCGGGUUGUAAACUGCUUUUGUACGGAGCGAAAAGGUCUCCUCUAAUACAGGGGGCUCAUGACGGUACCGUAAGAAUAAGCACCGGCUAACUACGUGCCAGCCGCCGCGGUAA
rnacentral:rRNA from 1 species